UACGGAGGGUGCAAGCGUUAAUCGGAAUUACUGGGCGUAAAGCGCGCGUAGGCGGCUGUUUAAGCUAGAUGUGAAAUCCCCGGGCUCAACCUGGGACGUGCAUUUAGAACUGGGCAGCUAGAGUACAGAAGAGGAUAGUGGAAUUUCAGGUGUAGCGGUGAAAUGCGUAGAGAUCUGAAGGAACACCAGUGGCGAAGGCGACUGUCUGGUCUGAUACUGACGCUGAGGUGCGAAAGCGUGGGGAGCAAACAGG
rnacentral:rRNA from 1 species